UACGAAGGGGGCUAGCGUUGUUCGGAAUCACUGGGCGUAAAGCGCAUGCAGGCGGAUUGUUAAGUCGGGGGUGAAAUCCCGAGGCUCAACCUCGGAACUGCCUUCGAUACUGGCAAUCUUGAGUCCGGGAGAGGUGAGUGGAACUGCGAGUGUAGAGGUGAAAUUCGUAGAUAUUCGGAGGAACACCAGUGGCGAAGGCGGCUCACUGGCUCGGUACUGACGCUGAGGUGCGAAAGCGUGGGGAGCAAACAGG
rnacentral:rRNA from 1 species